rnacentral:rRNA from 1 species
GACGAACGCUGGCGGCGUGCCUAAUACAUGCAAGUCGAGCGAGCUUGCCUAGAUGAAUUUGGUGCUUGCACCAGAUGAGACUAGAUACAAGCGAGCGGCGGACGGGUGAGUAACACGUGGGUAACCUGCCCAAGAGACUGGGAUAACACCUGGAAACAGAUGCUAAUACCGGAUAACAACACUAGACGCAUGUCUAGAGUUUAAAAGAUGGUUCUGCUAUCACUCUUGGAUGGACCUGCGGUGCAUUAGCUAGUUGGUAAGGUAACGGCUUACCAAGGCAAUGAUGCAUAGCCGAGUUGAGAGACUGAUCGGCCACAUUGGGACUGAGACACGGCCCAAACUCCUACGGGAGGCAGCAGUAGGGAAUCUUCCACAAUGGACGCAAGUCUGAUGGAGCAACGCCGCGUGAGUGAAGAAGGGUUUCGGCUCGUAAAGCUCUGUUGGUAGUGAAGAAAGAUAGAGGUAGUAACUGGCCUUUAUUUGACGGUAAUUACU